rnacentral:rRNA from 1 species
GACGAACGCUGGCGGCGUGCUUAACACAUGCAAGUCGAACGGAAAGGCCCUGCUUUUGUGGGGUGCUCGAGUAGCGAACGGGUGAGUAACACGUGAGUAACCUGCCCUUGACUUUGAGAUAACUUCAGGUAACUGUAGCUAAUACCGGAUAGGAGCUCCUGCUGCAUGGUGGGGGUUGGAACGUUUCGGGGGGUGGGGAUGGACUCGCGGCUUAUCAGCUUGUUGGUGGGGUAGUGGCUUACCAAGGCUUUGACGGGUAGCCGGCCUGAGAGGGUGACCGGCCACAGGGGGACGGAGAUGCGGCACAGACCCCCACGGGGGGGAGCAGGGGGGAAUAUCGCACAGGGGGCGAACGCGGGAUGCAGAAGCGCCGUGCGCGGGAUGAGGGUCUGCGUUGUGAAACCCUCUUUGGCCGGAGACGGCGCGUGGUGGCGGUAAAUGGGGAAGGAAGAACCGCUGACCUACGG